rnacentral:rRNA from 1 species
AGAGUUUGAUCAUGGCUCAGAACGAACGUUAGCGGCGCGCCUAAGACAUGCAAGUCGAGCGAGAAAGGGCUUCGGCCCCGGUAAAGCGGCGCACGGGUGAGUAACACGUAGGUUAUCUACCCUCGGGUGGCGGACAACCCUCCGAAAGGAGGGCUAAUACGGCAUGACGCCAGCAAUGGCCAAAGCGGGCCUCUCCAUGGAAGCUCGCGCCUGAGGUUGAGCCUGCGGCCCAUCAGCUUGUUGGUCGGGGUAACGGCCCACCAAGGCUAAGACGGGUAGCUGGUCUGAGAGGAUGAACAGCCACACUGGAACUGAGACACGGUCCAGACUCCUACGGGAGGCAGCAGUCAGGAAUCUUCCGCAAUGGGCGAAAGCCUGACGGAGCGACGCCGCGUGAGCGAUGAAGGCCUUCGGGUUGUAAAGCUCUGUGGGGAGAGAAGAAUAAGGGCAGGCCAAUACCCUGUUUGAUGACGGUAUCUCCUUAGCAAGCACCGGCUAACUCUGUGCCAGCAGCCGCGGUAAGACAGAGGGUGCAAACGUUGUUCGGAUUUACUGGGCGUAAAGCGCGCGUAGGCGGCUUGGUAAGUCGGAUGUGAAAGCCCACGGCUCACCCGUGGAAGUGCAUUCGAAACUGCUUCGCUUGAGUCUCGGAGAGGAAGGUGGAAUGCUUGGUGUAGAGGUGAAAUUCGUAGAUAUCAAGCAGAACACCUGCGGCGAAGGCGGCCUUCUGGACGAUGACUGACGCUGAGACGCGAAAGCGUGGGGAGCAAACAGGAUUAGAUACCCUAGUAGUCC